AGGAUGAACGCUGGCGGCGUGCCUAAUACAUGCAAGUCGAGCGGCAGCACGGUCUUCGGACUGGUGGCGAGCGGCGGGACGGGCUGAGUAACGCGUGGGAACGUACCCCAAAGUGAGGGAUAAGCACCAGAAAUGGUGUCUAAUACCGCAUGUGCUCUAAGGAGUAAAGCUCCGGCGCUUUGGGAACGGCCUGCGUCCGAUUAGCUUGUUGGUGAGGUAAAAGCUUACCAAGGCGAUGAUCGGUAGCUGGUCUGAGAGGAUGAUCAGCCAGACUGGGACUGAGAACGGCCCAGACUCCUACGGGAGGCAGCAGUAGGGAAUUUUCCACAAUGGGCGAAA
rnacentral:rRNA from 1 species